rnacentral:tRNA from 1 species
GAUCCCGUGGUCCAGCGGCGAAGACGCCUGGAUGACACCCAGGAGAUCGGCAGUUCGAUUCUGCCCGGGAUCA